CCGAUCUCAAUACCGCUCUCAAGAGCGAUAUCAACUGAGUCACUCUCAAGAUGUAAACAGCGUCUUAAGUGCGACGUUAAUUAAUAGACGAAUAUUGAGCGCGUAUCACAUGAUAUCGAUCUCAAGUUCAGGAUCUCAAGUAAACGUCCUAAUUGAGUGAACUAUAGACCGAACGAAUCAACGUUUCGUUCCUGCUUUAAAAAAAUAUUUCGGUUUAGGGCUUCAAACAUAUUAAAAAUUGUUCAAUUCUUUACUAAAAUGUUAAAAUUAUUAUAAUUCAAACGUAGGUUAUUUAAAUUAAUUAUAAAAACGGUCAUUUAACGUUUUAAAAAUAAUUUGUUAUGAUUUCAAAACGCAAUGCGUAGUGAAAACAAAACGCAACAAACAUCAUUCUCAAAAAAAAAGACGCGUCCUUCGCAACCACUUGUUUUGUUUUUGUAUAGUUUAGACUUUAGUUAUCAAUAAUAAACGUAAAGUAAUUACUGUCCAUAACGAUGUCAACAAUUAAGAAGCAUAUUUUUACUCCCCUCGAGAAGAAAACUUUUUUGGAUAUAUUGAAAAGAUACUCCUCGGUGAUAGAGAAUAAGGAUACCGAUGGCGCUUCAUUACGCGCAAAAAAUGAAGCUUGGGAUAUUGUAACCAGAGAAUACAACGCAAGCCCUCAUGCUACCAAUCAGGUUACAAAUAAACAACUUAGGAGAUUGUGGAUGAACCUCAAGCAGCGGCAAAGGGAAGCACUGACAAAAGAACGUCAACAUCGGCUAGCUACUGGAGGAGGGCCUGCAACCAGUGAUGCAGUUGUAGACCCAGAUGUGUCUGAGGUGGCCCCUGCUCUAAUAGUUGGUAUCGAUGAUGCUGUUGACUCUGAUACAAUUCCAGUAACCGCUGACCUUGCCGUCCAAGAAGUAAAUAUGGACUUGCAGCCCGUCUCUUGUCUUCCCUCAACUUCUUCCCAAAUACCAUCCACCAGUGCAUUUUCUUCAUCACCAUUCCCAUGCGCUGUUGUUACACAAGCACCACUUGCCCUUGCCCCAACCCGGACAACAUUGACACCACCUCCACCUGGAGUAGGUCCACUACUGUCUCUCACUGCAACCACUCCACCACCAGCUCUCCCUACAACCACUCCGCCACCACCUCUCCCUACAUCCACUCCACCACCACCACCUCUUACUGCUUCCACUCCACCACCACCUCUUCCUACAUCCACUCCACCACCACGUCUUCCUACCCCACCUCCACGUUUUCCUACUCCACCUCUUAUUAACCCAUCAAAUACAGCUACCCAAACUUUUCAAAGGCAUAAAAGUUCUAUUCUGGAUAAGGAAUAUAAAGACAGACAGAGACGGGCUAAUGAGAUUCAUGAGUUGGAGGUUUUAUUGUUAAGAGAAAGAAUAUGAGAAGCAAAGGCGAGAGCAGACCUCGCAGAACUUCAACUGCAGCAGCAGUGUUCGUCAGAUACUGCAACUGAUGCCUGAAGAGGGGAUGUGGCAUAAUAUAAUAAAUGGAAUAUUGUUAAUUUAUUAAAUAAAAGCAUAUAAGUCAAUAUAUAAAA
rnacentral:misc_RNA from 1 species